GCGGCCGGCGGGUCACCUGCGGCCCGGGCACAAGAUAAGUCGCAGGUUUCAGGAGAUGUGCAGAACCCAUGUCUGUGAAUACACAAGCUGGACCCAAUGGAGAAGAAACCAAUGGCUGUUUCUAACGGCGGAUCAUGAGGUUACAUGUCUUCACGUUUUCAAAAUCGCAUGUUUGAAAAGUCAGACUGUGUGGCAGACUGGGCGGCGGUGAAGCUGCCGCGUGCC